rnacentral:tRNA from 1 species
CUGGUGUUCGGCUGGUUCACCCGCCGGAUCUGGCAGAUCCUGGUCGGGCUGGUGGUGCUGUUCCUCUACGGCGGA